rnacentral:misc_RNA from 1 species
UGGCCAACAAACUCCAUCUCUUCCUACGCAACUUCCAGCUAGAGCUGAUCUUCCUGCCUGCACUGGUAAAGAAAAAUGGUUUGGAAAAUUUCCUGUAUGAAGCGUCAGACUUGUCUAUACAAUUAUGGCUUGACUGAAGUCAGUAUCGCCACCGAAUUUCCUUUCUUUUAAAUUUUAAUAAUUAAUAUUACACCAUUUGGGGAAUACCUGAAUGCAUGAAGUUAUUAUAUCAUAAUGCUUCUUUUCCAAGAUGCUUGUUUAAAGCUGUUAUCUUCUUUUUGGACCCUGGAAGGAUAUGAAGUUAAACAAGAAUUUUGACCUAGAAAAUUGUAAUACUUAUUUAACCAGUAACAUAGCCCUCCAUACAAUUCCAUCUCUACUGCCCCUUUCUAUGUUACUCUACAAAUACAUUGUCAAGUCAUUUGUUUUGUCUAAUAUGUGAGGCAAUUGCUGUAGAGUUUUAUAAUUCCUUUAUUGCACUUAAUGACUUUGCUUAGAUUGCAAUGAUGGUGGAUCUCAGUAUCCCAAACUGGAACUUCCAG